rnacentral:lncRNA from 1 species
GUUUUGUUUUGGGUGAUGUUCAGCAUUUUGUGCCCUGAUAGGAAUUUUAAUGAACAGAAAACAAAAGCACUGGUACCAAGCUGAGCCCAGUGGAUGAAUCAGGUAGGCGGGUGUAUUCAUUGCACCAAUGGCUGGCAGUUCUCUUGUGCCACGGUGGCCCAAAUGUCAGUCAACCAGACAUGUCUUCUGAGAGGUAAGUUUUUGAAAAAUACUAGACUUUUCUCAAAUGUAUUUCUUUACAGGAAUAAAAAGAAAGCUAAUUUUGCAUGAGCAUGCAGGAAGUCUGCAGACAGACAUUCUACAUAGUCCCUUGGGGACUCAGUAGAAGUGGAAUCAAGACCAACCCAAGCCCAACAAGGCAGCUCCGCUGGUUAAUGCCUCCCAGAUCUGUCAUCUGUGAUAAAGAGCCUCGCUGUAGCUGAGGAGCUGGCCAAGAACCUUUCCCAGUUAGCCAAGUUCGUGAAGAAGUCACAUGUGGUGAAUAUAUUAUCAUCAGAAUGCGGAGCAAUGAAAUGUAAACAGAUAGGAAUCGUCACUAAAGCUCCAACUGCAGCCUCCGGGUGCCAUAGCUUUUGCACCAUCCAUUUGCACCAUCUCUGCAGUAAGUCCUAGCUCAAGCCUUACUCCAAAGUACAAAUUAGCAUAGCAGCUCAGUCAACAAUGCCUCCGAGCUUCUGGAAAGAAAGAUGCUCAGUCACCAUAGACCCAGAAUUAAUGAAAAGUCACAGAAAUAAUAGCUCCAUUCUCUACUUGCUUCUGAACCUCAAAUCAGUGGUUGGCAACAAGGUAAGGGACUUACAGAAACUGCUGAAAGGACUUUCCGGUAAAUAGAGCGCCAAGAGGAGUUUGCUUUGGAUAUCUGCUCUGACUAAACCAUAUAUGUGCUUGUGCUACAAAACCUCUAGUUCCCAUUCUUGACCUGAAUCCCUUUUCUAGUUGGGAAUUUCUUGCUUCUCUUUUUAUUUUUU